rnacentral:rRNA from 1 species
UGGGGAAUAUUGCACAAUGGGCGCAAGCCUGAUGCAGCCAUGCCGCGUGUAUGAAGAAGGCCUUCGGGUUGUAAAGUACUUUCAGCGAGGAGGAAGGCGUUGUGGUUAAUAACCGCAGCGAUUGACGUUACUCGCAGAAGAAGCACCGGCUAACUCCGUGCCAGCAGCCGCGGUAAUACGGAGGGUGCAAGCGUUAAUCGGAAUUACUGGGCGUAAAGCGCACGCAGGCGGUCUGUCAAGUCGGAUGUGAAAUCCCCGGGCUCAACCUGGGAACUGCACCCGAAACUGGCAGGCUAGAGUCUUGUAGAGGGGGGUAGAAUUCCAGGUGUAGCGGUGAAAUGCGUAGAGAUCUGGAGGAAUACCGGUGGCGAAGGCGGCCCCCUGGACAAAGACUGACGCUCAGGUGCGAAAGCGUGGGGAGCAAACA